rnacentral:tRNA from 1 species
GCCGCUGUGGCGAAAUUGGCAGACGCACUAGGUUUAGGACCUAGUGGGAGCAAUCCCAUGUCGGUUCGAGUCCGACCAGCGGCACCA